GAUGAACGCUGGCGGCGUGCCUAAUACAUGCAAGUCGAGCGAACAGACGAGGAGCUUUCUCCUCUGACGUUAGCGGCGGACGGGUGAGUAACACGUGGAUAACCUACCUAUAAGACUGGGAUAACUUCGGGAAACCGGAGCUAAUACCGGAUAAUAUAUUGAACCGCAUGGUUCAAUAGUGAAUGACGGUUUUGCUGUUACUUAUAGAUGGAUCCGCGCCGCAUUAGCUAGUUGGUAAGGUAACGGCUUACCAAGGCAACGAUGCGUAGCCGACCUGAGAGGGUGAUCAGCCACACUGGAACUGAGACACGGUCCAGACUCCUACGGGAGGCAGCAGUAGGGAAUCUUCCGCAAUGGGCGAAAGCCUGACGGAGCAACGCCGCGUGAGUGAUGAAGGUCUUCGGAUCGUAAAACUCUGUUAUUAGGGAAGAACAAAUGUGUAAGUAACUAUGCACGUCUUGACGGUACCUAAUCAGAAAGCAACGGCUAACUACGUG
rnacentral:rRNA from 1 species